GGGAGAGUCAGAAAGUUGUCGCGAGAUGAGGAAAUCCUGACGCUGGCUUUGUCUUCCUGACCCGGGAGGUGAAAAGUUUUUGUUUCCCGUUUCCAUAAAGGAUAGUUACUUAGAAGUUGCCAUUGUUACCGAAACGCCAGGUUAUAUAGUCCUCUGCUUUUAAACCUUUAGCCCUAACCCUAGUCAAACCAUGAGAAGAAAUAUCAGACAAAAUCAAGUUGAUGGACAAUCUACAGAUUAUAUAUCAGUAUUUAAUAUUGUCAUGAUCUUGAAAAACAAGAAAAGUCUGUGAAACUGUCACACCAGAGGAGAUGAUACAUGAUGACUAAAUGUGAUACCCUGUCUGGGAACCUCAAGCAGAAAAAGGACAUUAAUGUCAAACUAGUGAAAUCUGAAUAAAGUGUGAAAUUUAGUUAA